rnacentral:rRNA from 1 species
GACGGGGACCCGCACAAGCGGUGGAUGAUGUGGUUUAAUUCGAUGCAACGCGAAAAACCUUACCCACCUUUGACAUGUACGGAAUCCUUUAGAGAUAGAGGAGUGCUCGAAAGAGAGCCGUAACACAGGUGCUGCAUGGCUGUCGUCAGCUCGUGUCGUGAGAUGUUGGGUUAAGUCCCGCAACGAGCGCAACCCUUGCCAUUAGUUGCUACGAAAGGGCACUCUAAUGGGACUGCCGGUGACAAACCGGAGGAAGGUGGGGAUGACGUCAAGUCCUCAUGGCCCUUAUAGGUGGGGCUACACACGUCAUACAAUGGCUGGUACAGAGGGUUGCCAACCCGCGAGGGGGAGCCAAUCCCACAAAGCCAGUCGUAGUCCGGAUCGUAGUCUGCAACUCGACUACGUGAAGUCGGAAUCGCUAGUAAUCGCGGAUCAGAAUGUCGCGGUGAAUACGUUCCCGGGUCUUGUACACACCGCCCGUCACACCAUGGGAGCGGGUUCUGCCAGAAGUAGUUAGCCUAACCGCAAGGAGGGCGAUUACCACGGCAGGGUUCGUGACUGGG